rnacentral:rRNA from 1 species
UACGUAGGGUGCAAGCGUUAUCCGGAAUUAUUGGGCGUAAAGAGCUCGUAGGCGGUUUGUCGCGUCUGCUGUGAAAACUGGGGGCUCAACCCCAGCCUGCAGUGGGUACGGGCAGACUAGAGUGCGGUAGGGGAGAAUGGAAUUCCUGGUGUAGCGGUGGAAUGCGCAGGAUAUCAGGAGGAACACCGAUGGCGAAGGCAGUUCUCUGGGCCGUAACUGACGCUGAGGAGCGAAAGCGUGGGGAGCGAACAG